rnacentral:rRNA from 1 species
CGCUGGCGGCAGGCGUAACACAUGCAAGUCGAAUGGUAACAGGAAACAGCUUGCUGUUUCGCUGACGAGUGGCGGACGGGUGAGUAAUGUCUGGGAAACUGCCUGAUGGAGGGGGAUAACUACUGGAAACGGUAGCUAAUACCGCAUAACGUCGCAAGACCAAAGAGGGGGACCUUCGGGCCUCUUGCCAUCAGAUGUGCCCAGAUGGGAUUAGCUAGUAGGUGGGGUAACGGCUCACCUAGGCGACGAUCCCUAGCUGGUCUGAGAGGAUGACCAGCCACACUGGAACUGAGACACGGUCCAGACUCCUACGGGAGGCAGCAGUGGGGAAUAUUGCACAAUGGGCGCAAGCCUGAUGCAGCCAUGCCGCGUGUAUGAAGAAGGCCUUCGGGUUGUAAAGUACUUUCAGCGGGGAGGAAGGGAGUAAAGUUAAUACCUUUGCUCAUUGACGUUACCCGCAGAAGAAGCACCGGCUAACUCCGUGCCAGCAGCCGCGGUAAUACGGAGGGUGCAAGCGUUAAUCGGAAUUACUGGGCGUAAAGCGCACGCAGGCGGUUUGUUAAGUCAGAUGUGAAAUCCCCGGGCUCAACCUGGGAACUGCAUCUGAUACUGGCAAGCUUGAGUCUCGUAGAGGGGGGUAGAAUUCCAGGUGUAGCGGUGAAAUGCGUAGAGAUCUGGAGGAAUACCGGUGGCGAAGGCGGCCCCCUGGACGAAGACUGACGCUCAGG